rnacentral:lncRNA from 1 species
AUCAGUCUUGUUUGGUUGAGGCUGAAUAAUUGCAGAGAACUUGAGAGUCUUCCAAGCAGCAUUUCUCACAUGAAAUCUCUUAAAUACCUUGAUGUUUCUGGAUGCUCAAAGAUUGAGAAGUUUCCAGAAAGUUUGGAGGUUAGGAAGGAGCUAUCUGAUCUUUGUUUGGGUGGCACUGCAAUUAAGGCGCUGCCUGCUUCUAUUUUAAAUCUCACCAGUCUUGUUACUUUGAAGUUGAAUGAUUGCAGAGAACUUGAGAGUCUUCCAAGCAUCAUUUCUCACAUGAAAUCUCUUGGAUACCUUGAUGUUUCUGGAUGCUCAAAGAUUGAGAAGUUUCCAGAAAUUUUGGAGGUUAUGAAGGAGCUAUCUAUUCUUUGUUUGGGUGGCACUGCAAUUAAGGAGCUGCCUGCUUCUAUUUUAAAUCUCACCAGUCUUGAUACUUUGAAACUGAAUGAUUGCAGAGAACUUGAGAGUCUUCCAAGCAUCAUUUCUCACAUGAAAUCUCUUAAAUACCUUGAUGUUUCUGGAUGCUCAAAGCUUGAGAAGUUUCCAGAAAUUUUGGAGGUUAUGAAGAAGCUAUCUGAGCUUUGUUUGGGUGGCACUGCAAUUAAGAAGCUGCCUGCUUCUAUUUUAAAUCUCACCAGUCUUGGUAGGUUGAGGCUGAAUAAUUGCAGAGAACUUGAGAGUCUUCCAAGCAGCAUUUCUCACAUGAAAUCUCUUAAAUACCUUGAUGUUUCUGGAUGCUCAAAGCUUGAAAAGUUUCCAGAAAUUUUGGAGGUUAGGAAGAAGCUAUCUGAGCUUUGUUUGGGUGGCACUGCAAUUAAGGAGCUGCCUGCUUCUAUUUUAAAUCUCAUCAGUCUUGUUAGGUUGAGGCUGAAUAAUUGCAGAGAACUUGAGAGUCUUCCAAGCAGCAUUUCUCACAUGAAAUCUCUUAAAUACCUUGAUGUUUCUGGAUGCUCAAAGAUUGAGAAGUUUCCAGAAAUUUUGGAGGUUAGGAAGGAGCUAUCUGAUCUUUGUUUGGGUGGCACUGCAAUUAAGGAGCUGCCUGCUUCUAUUUUAAAUCUCACCAGUCUUGUUACUUUGAAUUUGAAUGAUUGCAGAGAACUUGAGAGUCUUCCAAGCAGCAUUUCUCACAUGAAAUCUCUUGAGUACCUUGAUGUUUCUGGAUGCUCAAAGAUUGAGAAGUUUCCAGAAAUUUUGGAGGUUAGGAACGUGCUAUCUAAGCUUUGUUUGGGUGGCACUGCAAUUAAGGAGCUGC